UAUGAGAGAAAGCGAAAGCAUUUACUGAGGGUGUUGCUAAAAGCUAUAUUUUUGCCUCCAUUUUUAGGAAAGAAUAAGGGAACAGAUGGCAGAAAUUUCCCAAGGGAGAAAAGAGAAUUACUAGAGAAGAUCAGGAUCAGACCUGCACAGGUGAUCAUGAAAUCGAAAUGCCUGAAAACUCAAUUUCUCAAGGUCGAUAUAAUCCAUGCCUAGUGAAGUAUCGGAUCUGGACAGAUUGCAAGUUACAGCUGAAGGUGGUGUGACAACUUUAUUGCUGUUGCAUGGGUGACAUGUUGUCUUCGAUUGGGAAAUAGGCUGUGGACUUCCAGAAAGGGAACCUCAUCUUAAAAGACAACUGAAUGAAGAGACUGUGCAUAGUAUAGUCUGACAGAGUAUAUUCUCAAGAGUCUGCAGAGGAGGGCACUUAAGAUUCACACCUCAGACAUCCUGAGUACAGAAAUAAUUGCACAGGACCUUGUCCCAGGCAGGCAUGAAGCAAUGCAGCAAGGAAAGACCUUCUUGCUGAUCUAGGCUUAAGACUUUUUCCAAACAAUCACAAGCAGCUCAGCAGAUUUUUCAGACCUGAAGUCUAGAUAGGGACAUUUGCAAACUGCUUUGUUUUUCCCCUGUAUGUCAUCCUGGCUUACCUGAUGAAAAAAAUGUGGAUCAUCUGGAUUUCAGUUGUAUUCUGCCCACUCAAGGACCAAACUAGAAAUACUUGAUUAUGGUACUACUUGCAUCCAAUUUGUACUCAACCAAAGGAACUGUAUAAAUGAGCAGAACAAAACUGUCUUUAUACCUUUGCAAAAUGCUUUCUGCCUUGUCUACAUAAUCUUUAACUUGCUGAAGUCUCUAUGGUGAAAAAUAUUUUCUCAAUCUCUUUUUUUUUCCCUUAAAAAUACUUUGUAGCUCUUGCUAUGGCAUUCUGGGAAACUUCAGUAGAUGGUUUUGAGAACACAAAUAUUAUUUUAUUGGUGCCUCUGUGCUGGGUACUGUGGCUGCCCAGCCCCUGGCGCUGGCACUGGGACACAAUGCACUCAGAUGAGGGGCUGAGACAGGAGGAACUGUGCAAGGGCUGGUGCCAGGGAUGUCAGAG
rnacentral:lncRNA from 1 species